CAUAGCCUAAUGAUUAUGUUAGGUUAAUUCUGCUCAAUGAAUUAAAUGGCCGCAGUAAACUGACUGUGCUAAGGUAGCAUAAUAAAUUGGCCUUUAAUUGGGGUCUGGUAUGAACGGAAAAUAUGUGAUCUGUCUUAUUUGUAUUAUUUUAACUUACUUAAUAGGUGAAAAUUCCUAUAAACAACGAAGGACGAUAAGACCCUUAGAAUUAUUAAAAUUUUUGUUGGGGCGACAUAUUACCAUUUAACAUAAUUAAAUAAAUAACAAGACUAGUAAGAUUUAAUUACCUGAGGGAUAACAGCAUAAUCAUAUGUUUAUGACCUCGAUGUUGGACUAGGUAAUUUUAACUAACAGUUACUAACGUUCUGUUCGAACCCUACGUGAUCU
rnacentral:rRNA from 1 species